rnacentral:rRNA from 1 species
UGCAAGUCGAACGGUGAAGCGAGAGCUUGCUCUCGUGGAUCAGUGGCGAACGGGUGAGUAACACGUGAGUAACCUGCCCCAGACUCUGGGAUAAGCCUUGGAAACGAGGUCUAAUACCGGAUACGAGACGAGAUCGCAUGGUCAUCGUCUGGAAAGAAUUUCGGUCUGGGAUGGACUCGCGGCCUAUCAGCUUGUUGGUGAGGUAAUGGCUCACCAAGGCGACGACGGGUAGCCGGCCUGAGAGGGCGACCGGCCACACUGGAACUGAGACACGGUCCAGACUCCUACGGGAGGCAGCAGUGGGGAAUAUUGCACAAUGGGCGCAAGCCUGAUGCAGCGACGCCGCGUGGGGGAUGAAGGCCUUCGGGUUGUAAACCCCUUUCAGCAGGGAAGAAGCGAAAGUGACGGUACCUGCAGAAGAAGCGCCGGCUAACUACGUGCCAGCAGCCGCGGUAAUACGUAGGGCGCAAGCGUUGUCCGGAAUUAUUGGGCGUAAAGAGCUCGUAGGCGGUCUGUCGCGUCUGCUGUGAAAACCCGAGGCUCAACCUCGGGCCUGCAGUGGGUACGGGCAGACUAGAGUGUGGUAGGGGAGACUGGAAUUCCUGGUGUAGCGGUGGAAUGCGCAGAUAUCAGGAGGAACACCAAUGGCGAAGGCAGGUCUCUGGGCCACUACUGACGCUGAGGAGCGAAAGCAUGGGGAGCGAACAGGAUUAGAUACCCUGGUAGUCCAUGCCGUAAACGGUGGGCACUAGAUGUGGGGCUCUUUCCAUGAGUUCCGCGUCGCAGCUAACGCAUUAAGUGCCCCGCCUGGGGAGUACGGCCGCAAGGCUAAAACUCAAAGGAAUUGACGGGGGCCCGCACAAGCGGCGGAGCAUGCGGAUUAAUUCGAUGCAACGCGAAGAACCUUACCAAGGCUUGACAUAUACCCUUUUAUCCCUAGAGAUAGGGAGUCCUU